rnacentral:rRNA from 1 species
GAUGAACGCUGGCGGCGUGCUUAACACAUGCAAGUCGAACGAUGAUCCUCACUUGUGGGGGGAUUAGUGGCGAACGGGUGAGUAACACGUGAGUAACCUGCCCUUAACUCUGGGAUAAGCCUGGGAAACUGGGUCUAAUACCGGAUAUGACCUUCCAUCGCAUGGUGGUUGGUGGAAAGCUUUUUGUGGUUUUGGAUGGACUCACGGCCUAUCAGCUUGUUGGUGAGGUAAUGGCUUACCAAGGCGACGACGGGUAGCCGGCCUGAGAGGGUGACCGGCCACACUGGGACUGAGACACGGCCCAGACUCCUACGGGAGGCAGCAGUGGGGAAUAUUGCACAAUGGGCGCAAGCCUGAUGCAGCGACGCCGCGUGAGGGAUGACGGCCUUCGGGUUGUAAACCUCUUUCAGUAGGGAAGAAGCGUAAGUGACGGUACCUGCAGAAGAAGCGCCGGCUAACUACGUGCCAGCAGCCGCGGUAAUACGUAGGGCGCAAGCGUUAUCCGGAAUUAUUGGGCGUAAAGAGCUCGUAGGCGGUUUGUCGCGU